GUGAGGCAGCGUGAAGCUCCUGCUGUGACCUUCUGGUGACUCCUGAGGAGGGGCGGCCGGUCCGCAGCAGCUGACGGGGGUGACGGAAGCUUCCAGAGCCCCCGCGGCGGAGGGGUGCGGGGGCUGCUGCGCCCGGCUCUCUACUUUGGCACUGUCCAGCCCUCCCAAGAGGCAACUACCCAGCAUCCCAAGCCCCUGGGUCCAACUCUCCCCAUCUGAUCCCACUAAUUUCUACAGCUGUGACGACAGCCAGACCACACCUUCUGCUAAUGUACACUCUUCAAGAAGCUCCAUUUAACAUCUUGAGUCAACCGACAUGCUUUGAAGUAAACACUGCAGGAAGGCCCAGAUGGACACGAAUUUUGGGGGGCAUCCUACUCACCCCAAUUCAUGCUCUCAUAGAGACAACGAUGAAUAUAAAAAAAAUCAGGAGCACCUGGAUGACUCAGUGGUUGAGUAUCUGCCUUUGGCUCAGGUCGUGAUCCUGGGGUCCUGGGACCAAGUCCCACUUCAGGCUCCCUGCAGGGAGCCCUCUUC